CCUGGCAGCAGUCUCUGAUGUUUCCCUGUUUCAAUACAACCAAGCUGGCCGGUGCUGGAGCGGGUUCUUGUGGAGUAAAUGCCAACACUCGUCGCUCACGUCAUUACUUAUUCUUCCAUGACUAUGCUCAGGCAAACAACUGGACUAUAGGGACCAUUAACGCAAACAGGGCCGGUCCGACGUUGUAUGAAGUCCAACUGGAGUCCUAUGAGAGGGGCCCAUCUCUCCAGGAAAGCCCACUGAUCUCCCUUUUAUAUCACCUAUGACUGUUUUUGUUGUUGUUUUUUUUUUAGAUUUAGCUUGAACAUGACAAUUUUAAUAGUUUAUAAUUAUAUACAUCUAGAUCAUUUAGAGAUGCUGAUAAUUAAGUAAUCCCCCUCUGUUUACUUGUUGAGCCUGAAAAUGGUACACAAUGCAUUUACUGUUUGGCUAGGCUUUUACAUGAGAAAAAAAAAAAUUCUGUUAAGAUAGAUAGAAAGUGACCAGUGAUGGAUUUAACACAUCCAGGAACCUAGUCUUUGCAUUUGGAGGAAAGGAGACACUACGGUCUUGUACUCUGUAGCUUUUCCUUUCAACCUUUCUUGCCUUUUUGGAAAGAGUGUAGAUGUAUGUUCUUAUUUAUGAACUGGCUCAUUAAUUUAUAAUAUAAAAUAUUUAUUUUAUAAAAUAGGUUCCAAUUACUGGGUGUUAUUAGAUCACCUUUAUUUUUAAUGAAGUUAUUUAUGUUUAGAUGUGAAACCUCUGUCCUCUUGCUGGUUUCGAAGUAAUAGACUUUGGUCUAUUUUGCUUAAGGUUAUUUUUGUAUACCUUUGCCAAUUAGUGUGAGAGGUUGUUGUUUGUCUCGUAUGGCAUGAUGUUCAAGCACCUAUAACCUACAAAGCACGUCUGGUUGAUUAGUUUCAGCUUUUAUUGCAUCAGACAGCACAGAAGAAGCAUCUACUUUCUGCACAAAUGACUCACAACUAUUUGUGGAAGUGAUCUAACACUGAAACUUACACAUAAGCAGCAGAAAUUAAAAAUGUAUCCACCGGUAAUUAUAAUCUCAGUAACAUAACUUCCAAAGCAUGAAAGUUUUUCAUUAUGCAUACAACAGUUUCUUUGUUUUUUAUUUCUGUUGCCAGUUUUUGUCUGAUGUAAAACAUUUUGUGUUGUCCUCAUGUUGUAUGAAAACUGCUCUAUAAUUAAAAACCGACUUGUUAAAAGUUGUUCUAACAAA